GACGAACGCUGGCGGCGUGCUUAACACAUGCAAGUCGAACGAAGUGGCGAACGGGUGAGUAACGCGUAAUCAACCUGCCCUUCAGAGGGGGACAACAGUUGGAAACGACUGCUAAUACCGCAUACUGAAGGAGGGGAUUGCAGCGGAUUAGCCGGUUGGAGGGGUAGCGGCCCACCAAGGCGAUGAUCAGUAGCGGGUCUGAGAGGAGGAACGGCCACAUUGGAACUGAGACACGGCCCAGACUCCUACGGGAGGCAGCAGUGGGGAAUCGUCCGCAAUGGACGAAAGUCUGACGGAGCAACGCCGCGUGAGUGAUGACGGCCUUCGGGUUGUAAAGCUCUUUUAAUCGGGACGCGGUACCGGAAUAGAAAGCCACGGCUAAAUACGUGCCAGCAGCCGCGGUAAUAC
rnacentral:rRNA from 1 species